rnacentral:rRNA from 1 species
UGGCUUACGCUUCUGUGUAGGUGCUCGCUUCUUAGAGGGACUUUCGGUGACUAACCGAAGGAAGUUGGGGGCAAUAACAGGUCUGUGAUGCCCUUAGAUGUCCUGGGCCGCACGCGCGCUACACUGAUGCAUGCAACGAGUUCUUUUUUUUCCUGGG